rnacentral:rRNA from 1 species
ACGGGAGGCAGCAGUGGGGAGUAUUGCACAAUGGGCGAAAGCCUGAUGCAGCGACGCCGCGUGAGUGAAGAAGUAUCUCGGUAUGUAAAGCUCUAUCAGCAGGGAAGAAAAUGACGGUACCUGACUAAGAAGCCCCGGCUAACUACGUGCCAGCAGCCGCGGUAAUACGUAGGGGGCGAGCGUUGUCCGGAAUGAUUGGGCGUAAAGGGCGCGUAGGCGGCCCGUUAAGUCUGGAGUGAAAGUCCUGCUUUUAAGGUGGGAAUUGCUUUGGAUACUGGCGGGCUUGAGUGCAGGAGAGGUAAGUGGAAUUCCCAGUGUAGCGGUGAAAUGCGUAGAUAUUGGGAGGAACACCAGUGGCGAAGGCGACUUACUGGACUGUUACUGACGCUGAGGCGCGAAAGUGUGGGGAGCAAACAGGAUUAGAUACCCUGGUA